rnacentral:misc_RNA from 1 species
GUGAAUCAUCAAAUUUUUGAACGCAAAUUGCACUCUCCUCUGUGAGUAUGCCUGUUUGAGUUUCAGCCUAUAAAAAAUCGACAUCGUUGCUGUUUCGCUUGGGCUUUGGUCGGGAAUUGGGUGAUCUUAAAUCCUUUUUGGUUUUAAGCGACUUAAAAUUUUCUUUUUGGUUCCAUGAUCGUUU